rnacentral:rRNA from 1 species
UACAGAGACUGCAAGCGUUUGUUCGGAUUCAUUGGGCGUAAAGGGUCCGUAGGCGGUCGGUUAAGUCGGAUGUGAAAAUCUCGUGGCCUAACCACGAGCGGUCAUUCGAAACUAAUCGGCUAGAGGGCUGGAGAGGAGACUGGAAUUGUCGGUGUAGCGGUGAAAUGCGUAGAGAUCGACAAGAACACCGGUGGCGAAGGCGGGUCUCUGGACAGUGACUGACGCUGGAGAACGCGAAAGCGUGGGGGAGCAAACAGG